rnacentral:tRNA from 1 species
AGCUCUGCAGUUGUAGAAACGUCAGAUUGCAAAUCUGAAGGAGCAGGUUGAUGACCUGCCGGGGCUU